rnacentral:rRNA from 1 species
AACGAACGCUGGCGGCGUGGAUAAGACAUGCAAGUCGAACGAGGCUACUGAAUAGCUUGCUAAUUAGUAGUCUAGUGGCGGACGGGUGCGUAACACGUGAGCAACUUGCCCCAAAGCGGGGGAUAGCCCACCGAAAGGUGGAUUAAUACCGCAUGUGAUCUUCGGAUUAAAGGUGCCUUCGGGUGCCGCUUUGGGAUAGGCUCGCGUCCUAUCAGCUUGUUGGUGAGGUAACGGCUCACCAAGGCGACGACGGGUAGCUGGUCUGAGAGGACGAUCAGCCACACUGGAACUGAGACACGGUCCAGACACCUACGGGUGGCAGCAGCCGAGAAUCAUUCACAAUGGGGGAAACCCUGAUGAUGCAACGCCGCGUGGAGGAUGAAGGCCCUAGGGUCGUAAACUCCUGUCAUCAAGGAGUAAGCCUUAUGCUUUAAUAGAGUGUAAGGUUGAUAGUACUUGAAGAGGAAGGGACGGCUAACUUCGUGCCAGCAGCCGCGGUAAUACGAAGGUCCCAAGCGUUGUUCGGAAUCACUGGGCAUAAAGAGUAUGUAGGCGGCGCGGAAAGUCAGAUGUGAAAUCCAGGGGCUCAACCUCUGAACUGCAUCCGAUACUCCCGUGCUAGAGUAAUGGAGGGGUAGAUGGAAUUCUCGGUGCAGCAGUGAAAUGCGUGGAUAUCGAGAGGAAGACUUGUGGCGAAGGCGAUCUACUGGACAUUUACUGACGCUGAGAUACGAAGGCUAGGGUAGCGAAAGGGAUUAGAUACCCCUGUAGUCCUAGCAGUAAACGGUGUGCGCUUGGUGUGGGAGGAUUCGACCCCUUCCGUGCCGGAGCUAACGCGUUAAGCGCACCGCCCGGGGAGUACGACCGCAAGGUUA